UACGAAGGUGGCAAGCGUUGUUCGGAUUUACUGGGCGUAAAGGGAGCGUAGGUGGUUAGGUAAGCCCUCCGGGAAAUCUUCAGGCUUAACCUGAAAAGGUCGGGGGGGACUGCCUAGCUAGAGGGCGGGAGAGGAGCGCGGAAUUCCCGGUGUAGCGGUGAAAUGCGUAGAGAUCGGGAGGAAGGCCGGUGGCGAAGGCGGCGCUCUGGAACGUUUCUGACACUGAGGCUCGAAAGCGUGGGGAGCAAACGGG
rnacentral:rRNA from 1 species